CCUACGGGAGGCAGCAGUAGGGAAUAUUGCUCAAUGGGGGAAACCCUGAAGCAGCAAAGCCGCGUGGAGGAUGAAGGUUUUAGGAUUGUAAACUCCUUUUGUUAGAGAAGAUAAUGACGGUAUGUAACGAAUAAGCACCGGCUCACUCCGUGCCAGCAGCCGCGGUAAUACGGAGGGUGCAAGCGUUACUCGGAAUCACUGGGCGUAAGGAGUGCGUAGGCGGGGUAAUAAGUCAGAUGUGAAAUCCUGUAGCUUAACUACAGAACUGCCUGUGAAACUGUGAGUCUGGAGUGUGGGAGAGGUAGGUGGAAUUCUUGGUGUAGCGGUGAAAUCCGUAGAGAUCAAGAGGAAUACUGAUUGCGAAGGCGGCCUGCGGGAACGCUACUGACGCUGAUGCACGAAAGCGUGGGGAGCAAACAGGAUUAGAUACCCUAGUAGUC
rnacentral:rRNA from 1 species